rnacentral:rRNA from 1 species
AUUGAACGCUGGCGGCAUGCUUUACACAUGUAAGUCGAACGGCAGCGCGGGCUUCGGCCUGGCGGCGAGUGGCGAACGGGUGAGUAAUGCAUCGGAACGUGCCCAGCAGUGGGGGAUAGCCCGGCGAAAGCCGGAUUAAUACCGCAUACGACCUGAGGGUGAAAGCGGGGGACCGAAAGGCCUCGCGCUAUUGGAGCGGCCGAUGUCGGAUUAGCUAGUUGGUGGGGUAAAGGCUUACCAAGGCGACGAUCCGUAGCUGGUCGGAGAGGACGACCAGCCACACUGGAACUGAAACAGGGCCAAGACUACUACGGGACGCAGCAGUGGGGAAUUUUGGACAAUGGGGGCAAACCUGAUCCAGCCAUGCCGCGUGCGGGAAGAAGGCCUUCGGGUUGUAAACCGCUUUUGUUCGGGAAGAAAUCCUCUGGGCUAAUACCCCGGGGGGAUGACGGUACCGGAAGAAUAAGCACCGGCUAACUACGUG